GGAAAGCCGGUUUGCCUGGCCCCCUCGGGCUGGAUGGUGCUCCUGGAAUUCCUGGGCCAAGGGGAGAAAAGGGGGAGGCAGGGAUCGGCAUUCCAGGCACACCUGGCUUUAAGGGAGAAGAAGGAGGAAAGGGGGAAAUGGGACCACCCGGAGCACAAGGACAAAAGGGUGAUCCAGGAUUGCCUGGAGGAGAAGGACUGACUGGCCCAAAG
rnacentral:lncRNA from 1 species